rnacentral:rRNA from 1 species
UACGUAGGGACCAAGCGUUGUUCGGAUUUACUGGGCGUAAAGGGCGCGUAGGCGGCGUGGUAAGCCACUUGUGAAAUCUCUGAGCUUAACUCAGAACGGUCAAGUGAUACUGCUGUGCUAGAGUGCGGAAGGGGCAAUCGGAAUUCUUGGUGUAGCGGUGAAAUGCGUAGAUAUCAAGAGGAACACCUGAGGUGAAGACGGGUUGCUGGGCCGACACUGACGCUGAUGCGCGAAAGCCAGGGGAGCAAACGGG